rnacentral:ncRNA from 1 species
AAAAAAUGGCAAACUAUGGGAAACUGUAGGACGCAAAGCUAUAGGGCCUAAAAAAGGCAGCCAGUUGC